rnacentral:rRNA from 1 species
UACGGAGGAUCCGAGCGUUAUCCGGAUUUAUUGGGUUUAAAGGGUGCGCAGGCGGGGGAUUAAGUCGGCGGUGAAAUUUUGCAGCUCAACUGUAAAAGUGCCUUCGAAACUGGUUUCCUUGAGUGUAGAUGAAGUAGGCGGAAUUUGUGGUGUAGCGGUGAAAUGCAUAGAUAUCACGAGGAACUCCGAUUGCGAAGGCAGCUUACUAAACUACUACUGACGCUCAUGCACGAAGGCGCGGGGAUCAAACAGGAUUAGAUACCCCGGUAGUCCCUGA